CCUACGGGUGGCAGCAGUGAGGAAUAUUGGUCAAUGGUCGGAAGACUGAACCAGCCAUGCCGCGUGCAGGAAGAAUGCCUUAUGGGUUGUAAACUGCUUUUAUAUGGGAAGAAUAAGGCGUACGUGUACGUUGAUGACGGUACCAUAUGAAUAAGCAUCGGCUAACUCCGUGCCAGCAGCCGCGGUAAUACGGAGGAUGCGAGCGUUAUUCGGAAUCAUUGGGUUUAAAGGGUCUGUAGGCGGGCUAUUAAGUCAGGGGUGAAAGGUUUCAGCUUAACUGAGAAAUUGCCUUUGAUACUGGUAGUCUUGAAUAUCUGUGAAGUUCUUGGAAUGUGUAGUGUAGCGGUGAAAUGCUUAGAUAUUACACAGAACACCGAUUGCGAAGGCAGGGGACUAACAGACAAUUGACGCUGAGAGACGAAAGCGUGGGGAGCGAACAGGAUUAGAUACCCCAGUAGUC
rnacentral:rRNA from 1 species